rnacentral:rRNA from 1 species
UCUGCCUUGUACUGGGGAAUAGCCCAGAGAAAUUUGGAUUAAUGCCCCAUGGUAUGUAAUUGUGGCAUCACUAUUACAUUAAAGGUUACGGUACAAGAUGACUAUGCGUCCCAUUAGUUAGUUGGUAAGGUAACGGCUUACCAAGGCAGCGAUGGGUAGGGGCCCUGAGAGGGGGAUCCCCCACACUGGUACUGAGACACGGACCAGACUCCUACGGGAGGCAGCAGUGAGGAAUAUUGGACAAUGGGCGGGAGCCUGAUCCAGCCAUGCCGCGUGCAGGAAGACGGUCCUAUGGAUUGUAAACUGCUUUUGUACGGGAAGAAUAAGGGCUACGUGUAGCCUGUUGACGGUACCGUAAGAAUAAGGAUCGGCUAACUCCGUGCCAGCAGCCGCGGUAAUACGGAGGAUCCGAGCGUUAUCCGGAAUCAUUGGGUUUAAAGGGUCCGUAGGCGGGCCAUUAAGUCAGGGGUGAAAGUCUGCGGCUCAACCGUAGAAUUGCCCUUGAUACUGGUGGUCUUGAGUUAUGGUGAAGUGGCCGGAAUAUGUAGUGUAGCGGUGAAAUGCAUAGAUAUUACAUAGAACACCGAUUGCGAAGGCAGGUCACUAACCAUAUACUGACGCUGAUGGACGAAAGCGUGGGGAGCGAACAGGAUUAGAUACCCUGGUAGUCCACGCCGUAAACGAUGGAUACUAGCUGUCCGGGCGCAAGCCUGGGCGGCCAAGCGAAAGUGAUAAGUAUCCCACCUGGGGAGUACGUCCGCAAGGAUG